CUUUACUUGUGCGGGUCAAGGUCACUUAGACAAGCACUUCUGCGAAUGUACGACGAACAGUCAGAAUAAGUUGGCAACAAAAUGUGGACCCGGCAAUUCUCUCAAAAACUAUUUGCGCUUGUUCGAUCAAGCACAUCACCUUACUCGUGCAGGAAUGCACAUGCACAGAAAUCUGAGGUGUCAGAUCGGUUUGUGCAAGCCCUGUCUGAUGUUGUCGGAGGUUCAAAUGUUUCCACUGCAAUGGCAGUGAGAGAACAGCAUGGGAGGGACGAGUCGUAUCAUGAAUGCUCCCCACCAGAUGUUGUUGUGUUUGCUGAGAGCACGGAGCAUGUGAGCCAGAUUGCCAAGCUGUGUAAUGAUAAUGAGGUCCCGCUCAUCCCCUUUGGCACAGGGACAGGCUUGGAAGGAGGGAUCAAUGCUUUCAGGGGUGGCGUGACUCUGGAUCUGAGUAAGAUGGAUAAGAUACUGUCAGUGCAUCAGGAGGACUUUGAUGCAGAAGUAGAGGCAGGGGUGUCACGUCAAGGGUUAAACGCCUACCUUCGUGACACAGGAUUGAUGUUCCCAAUUGAUCCGGGAGCAGACGCCUCUCUGUGUGGAAUGUGUGCCACCAGUGCGUCAGGCACCAAUGCAGUGAGGUACGGGACGAUGAGGGAGAACGUCCUCAACAUGGAGGUCGUGAUGGCAGACGGCAGAGUUAUAAACACAGCUGGGAAGGGCAGACGUACAAAGAAGACAUCUGCAGGCUACAACCUGACGAACCUGUUUGUGGGCUCCGAGGGCACCCUGGGCAUCAUCACCAAGGCCACACUACGUCUCUAUGGCAUACCUGAAGCAACCGUUUCGGCCGUGGUCCACUUUGAGACAGUCCAGGGGGCAGUGGACACGACUGUCAACGUCCUGCAGUGUGGCAUCCCCAUGGCCAGAAUAGAAUUCUUGGAUGAAGUUACUAUUGAUGCCUUCAACAAGUACAGCAAGUUUGACAUGAAAGUGGCGCCCUCUCUCUUCCUGGAGUUCCACGGGCCUGCCAGUGGCCUGGAUAACCAAGUCAGUGUUGUGGAGGAACUGUGUCAGAUGAAUGGCGGCUCGGACUUCCGCUGGGCCAAGGAUGCUGAAGAGAGAAACAGACUGUGGAGGGCCAGGCAUGACAUCAUCUAUGCGUGUAUGGCUCUGAAACCAGGAUCAAAGCCCUAUUCAACUGAUGUCUGCGUGCCCAUCUCCAGACUGCCUGAAGUCAUCCUCAAGUCUAAGGAUUUCAUCAAUGAAGCGGGAGUAAUAGGCCCCAUAGUUGGGCAUGUAGGAGACGGCAAUUUCCACGUCUUCUUCCCAGUUGACCGCACUGACCCUGAAGACGUUCAAAAGGUCAAGGACGUUGCUGUUAAAAUGGCCAAACUCGGUCUGUCUAUGGAUGGGACUUGCACAGGGGAGCAUGGUAUAGGCAUCGGCAAGAGGAUGUUGCUUCGGGAGGAGAUCGGCGAUACAACUCUAGGGGUCAUGCAGCAACUCAAGACAACCUUUGACCCAAAGGGUAUACUUAACCCUGGCAAGGUCUUGGUUUAAGGACAUAAUUCCACAGACUGAAGAAUAGUCAACAGAACUCAGUCUUGUCAAUCGAUGAAUAAUGAACUGAGGUGAAAAUUUAAAUAGUAAACUUGUUGUUGACUUAUGACACAAUUGUACAAUAAGCAAUGAUUUCAAAUGAUAUUGUAUCAUAUACUUGGGAUUACUUUAUACAGGUUUGUCAUCAUACAUGCUCGGCACGUGUAGACUCAUAGUGGAUCGAAUAUCCAUCAUGUGGACAUAUGAUGACAAAGUAGUGGUAUAUGUUGGUUGUUGUCAUGAGUCAGCUGAUAAUGUAACUGAAACCACUCAAAUAUUCAGUUCACUUGUACCUGACUGUAUUAGAUAUUUUGUGAGAACAGUUUGAAUAUUUAUAGGAUAUAUUUGCCACAUUUGUAUUUACUGGUUUUUGUUAAUACUGACAAAGUAUGUGGAUGCAUGAUAUGUGCCUUAUCAGUUAUAAGCCACUCCAAACGGUGGUUUCUGCAGACAAUAAAUGGCAGUUUUUUCGUCUCCCUGCAAAUCGCUGCACGGUGAUCCAGAUAGCUGCAUGUUUGGGUCAGAUGUGAGUUGCUUGUUGACGUAAACACGUUAGAACUUACAAACUCAAACGUUUAACUACACACUACAUUAUUGCCCAAUGUGGCCUUGGAUUCCUGUAUUUGUUUGCAGACCUUUAUUUAGUGAUUGAACACAGCCCCACCUGUACAUGAACCUCUGCUUACAUGGGUUCCAACAGGGUACUGAAGGUCUGCAACUUGCCUCACAUGCAGUUGUAUAACUGAAUUAAGUACACUCAUUAAGUUUGUUAUGCUUUAUUCUUUAUGGCAUCAGUUUUCUGGAAUGUAUUCAUUGUUUGUUACAGACUGCUCAUGAUGUUCUGUGAUGGUGGUUUUGUGUGUUGGUGGUAUUAUAUUCUUUCUUUGUAUGGCUUUUUCUUUUGGCUUUGGGGAAAUACAGGUUGGAAAACAGUGAAAUACUCCACAGUUAAUUGCAGCAUAAAUACCUCACUGAUACACUCAGGAGAUCUCAGAUAUUAAACACACAAAAGAGAUAUAGUGAAGGAUUUGUUUUCGGGUUGUGAGAUAUUGAACUCCUGUAAUGAAGCAUUUAGUCUCGAUGUGUGAGAAACAUGAUAGCGAUAUUGCAAAGUAUUUGUGAGACUAAGGACAUGGCCUACCUUCAGCUCGUAGACAUGCCCUUCAGUCCAUCUACCUCUGUAGCAUGCAUAAAAUAACUCAUUCAUGGAGACAGGUACUCCAUUACGUUUAACAUGUCAUGUGUAGAUACACAAUCAGGUUGGCAACAAUUUUAUGUGGUGCCUUUAUGUGGUGAGCUCAGGAUUUGACAAGUAUGCUGGUCAAGUGAGAUGAGUAUAUUGGUCCCCAAGACAAGUAUGCUGGUCCGCUAGACAAGUAUGUUGGUCAAGUGAGAUGAGUAUAUUGGUCCCCAAGACAAGUAUGCUGGUCCGCAAGACAAGUAUGUUGGUCAAGUGAGAUGAGUAUAGGUCUGCUGGACAAGUAUGCUGGUCUGCUGGACAAGUAUGCUGGUCAAGUGAGAUGAGUAUAUUGGUCCGCUAGACAAGUAUGCUGGUCAAGUGAGAUGAGUAUAUUGGUCCGCUAGACAAGUAUGCUGGUCCGCAAGACAAGUAUGCUGGUCAAGUGAGAUGAGUAUAUUGGUCCGCUAGACAAGUAUGCUGGUCCGCAAGACAAGUAUGCUGGUCAAGUGAGAUGAGUAUAUUGGUCCGCUAGACAAGUAUGCUGGUCAAGUGAGAUGAGUAUAUUGGUCCGCUGGACAAGUAUGCUGGUCCGUUAGACAAGUAUGCUGGUCAAGUGAGAUAAGUAUUGGUCCACUAGACAAGUAUGCUGGUCAAGUGAGAUAAGUAUUGGUCCACUAGACAAGUAUGCUGGUCAAGUGAGAUAAGUAUUGGUCCACUAGACAAGUAUGCUGGUCAAGUGAGAUGAGUAUAUUGGUCGGCUAGACAAGUAUGCUGGUCCGUUAGACAAGUACGUUGGUCAAGUGAGAUGAGUAUUGGUCCGCUAGACAAGUAUGCUGGUCCGCUAGACAAGUAUGCUGGUCAAGUGAGAUGAGUAUAUUGGUCCGCUAGACAAGUAUGUUGGUCGGCUAGACAAGUACGUUGGUCAAGUGAGAUGAGUAUUGGUCCGCUAGACAAGUAUGCUGGUCCGCUAGACAAGUAUGCUGGUCAAGUGAGAUGAGUAUAUUGGUCCGCUAGACAAGUAUGUUGGUCAAGUGAGAUAAGUAUUGGUCCGCUAGACAAGUAUGCUGGUCAGGUGAGAUAAGUAUAGGUCUGCUGGACAAAUAUGCUGGUCAAGUGAGAUGAGUAUUGGUCCACUAGACAAGUAUGCUGGUCAGGUGAGAUGAGUAUAGGACUGCUUGACAAGUAUGCUCGUCAAGUGAGAUGAGUAUAUUGGUCCACUAGACAAGUAUGCUGGUCAGGUGAGAUGAGUAUAGGUCUGCUGGACAAGUAUGCUGGUCCAUCAGACAAACACUAGUAAUGGUAAAUAUUAAUUAGGACCAGUAACUUGAAAUCAAGGCUGUCCAAAUUGCUUGUGCUAAAUAUGAAAGUGACUUUUUGUUUUUGAAAAGAAUGAAAGAACAGUAAUUGAUAGAGUAUGUGUGCAAAAACGAUGAUAAUGUGGCACAAUUGUUUUAACCAAAUGCUUUGCUAUCUAACACAUUUUCUAUGGGACCAGUGAUUUUCCUGUGACAUGUGCCCUGUUGCCCAUGAAACAGGUGAGACCCUGUGAUCUCCAGGGACGUGCUGUUCAAUCAAUCAUGGGCACAAGCACAGCUAAGUCAUGUGCAUGCAGCUCAAAUAUUAUUCCAAGCAUGUUAAACAGUACCGCUAUGUCAUCAUCAGGGUGACUUUGUACACAUGAAAUCAUAAGGUCACCUUUAUAUCACAAAAAAAGUUCUAUUACAAAACAAACAAUUUCGUUGGUCGGAUGAAUUUUGGUUGUUGAUUAUCCAACCACUCCAGCCCAAAUUCACAAUUUUACUAAUUAAAAUAAAGAAGAAGUGCAUGUUAAGAAUGAAAUAAAUCACAAUCGUCACUGCUGGUCAUCAGGGCAGUUUACAUCAAAAAGUGCAAUUAUGGAAUGGAUUAUAACUAUGGCCAAAAUAUAUACAGUCAAACACCGUUGUGUUGAAGUUGAAGGGACCUACGUAAAUAGUUCGACUUAUCUGAGGUUUGACACAACCGAAAAUGAUAUAUAAAGAAGGAAAGAGGGACCAAGCUUUUUCUAUAAGACAACCAUACGUUUGACACAUUAAAGUUCAACACAGCUGUGUUUGACUUUAGAUAAAACUGUAAAGUAUGUAAAACUAGAAAACUAGAGUUGUGAUUAUUUUAUGGUAGGUAAAUGUUUCUGGUAAUUUCACUUUACUUCUGUAUUUUCCUUGGUCCCAUAGUUGACAAUAGUUGAGGGUACUUAAUCAUGUUGUGUCAGUGUGUGCUGAAACAUGGAAACCAGCUGUAAAUGGGAUUCCUACUUUGUCAACAACUUCAUGAUCUCACAGUCUACUUGGAUGUAUAGAAUUAAUAUUGUGUCAUGUUAAUAGGUUUGCAAAGUUGUCAUUUGAACGACAAAAAUCUUUUCCCGUGUUAGGUCACUUAUCUUACAGACUUUUUUUUCGCAUUUUCCCACAAACUGUAGGAUCUGUUUUUGAUUGAAAUAGAAUUCGAAAAACAAAAUUGAUUUUCACAUGAUCACAUUAAUAAGAGACUUUUUUCUCCUUAUUUACCAAUUUCAAAGUGUUUUUCAUAACUGCAAUUUGUUAACGGAUAGAGAGGAAAAAUUCUUUUGUGAAAUAUUAGGUUGAUGAAUGAGUAUGAAGUACCGGUAAUAUAAAACCAAAUGCCCCAACAUGUCAAGUCAGUAUUGAUGAUGUUGAUUGAAAACUGCUUGGCUGAUACGAUAGUUACAGAAGCAUGGCCCUGAGAUCUGUUGUAUUUAGUCUUUGCUAUUGUUAAUCCCAACUCAACUAAUAGGAUCUUCAUAGUUGCCUGCCAAUGAAUCAUUCAUGUAUCAUAAUCAUUACAUUCCUUAUUGGUAUAGUACCACUGCGAUAGCACUCCUUUCAAAUACUCUGCUUUAAUUAAAUAUUUCUGUAUGAUUCUUUAAAUACCAGUACUGUAAAAUGAAAUUAAAGUUAAAAUUUGUUAAAAGGUUGUGCUGAUGUCAAGAAAUGUGAAUCGACGCAUGUGACUUCAAAUAGAGCUUUUGAAAAUAGGAAUGUGUUCCCGGACAGCUCUUCACUUUGUAAAUGUUGGUAUA
rnacentral:misc_RNA from 1 species